rnacentral:rRNA from 1 species
GACGAACGCUGGCGGCGUGCCUAAUACAUGCAAGUAGAACGCACAGUUUAUACCGUAGCUUGCUACACCAUAAACUGUGAGUUGCGAGCGGGUGAGUAACGCGUAGGUAACCUGCCUGGUAGCGGGGGAUAACUAUUGGAAACGAUAGCUAAUACCGCAUAAUAUUGAUUAUUGCAUGAUAAUUGAUUGAAAGAUGCUAUUGCAUCACUACCAGAUGGACCUGCGUUGUAUUAGCUAGUAGGUGAGGUAACGGCUCACCUAGGCGACGAUACAUAGCCGACCUGAGAGGGUGAUCGGCCACACUGGGACUGAGACACGGCCCAGACUCCUACGGGAGGCAGCAGUAGGGAAUCUUCGGCAAUGGACGAAAGUCUGACCGAGCAACGCCGCGUGAGUGAAGAAGGUUUUCGGAUCGUAAAGCUCUGUUGUAAGAGAAGAACGGGUGUGAGAGUGGAAAGUUCACACUGUGACGGUAUCUUACCAGAAAGGGACGGCUAACUACGU